UACGUAGGGUGCGAGCGUUAAUCGGAAUUACUGGGCGUAAAGCGUGCGCAGGCGGUUCGUUAAGUCAGAUGUGAAAGCCCCGGGCUCAACCUGGGAACUGCAUUGAAACUGGCGGGCUUGAGUGUGGCAGAGGGGGUGGAAUUCCGCGUGUAGCAGUGAAAUGCGUAGAUAUGCGGAGGAACACCGAUGGCGAAGGCAAUCCCCUGGGCCUGCACUGACGCUCAUGCACGAAAGCGUGGGGAGCAAACAGG
rnacentral:rRNA from 1 species